GGAGGCCAGAAACAAAGGUUUUAAGUUAAAAACCUGGAGUGGUGUGGAUUAAUGUGAUGUUUUAUCAGCUGUUUGGACUCAUUCUGAUGGCACCCAUUCACUGCAGAGGAUCCAAUGGUGAGCAAGUGAUGAAAUACUACAUUUCUCCAAAUCUUUUCCCAUGAAGAAACAAACUCUUCUAUAUUUUGGAUGGACUGAGGCAUCUCCUAAUGUAAAAGUAUCUCCAGAUGUCAUAAGAGAGUCAAGCUCAGUGAAGAUCAGCUGUGAGACACCAGCAGAUGUUACAGUGGAUCAGUGUUAUUUCAACUCAAACAAAGAACAGAAGAAUAUAAAAGUCAGUUCAUCAUGUGAGCUGGAUGGGCAGCUGUAAAGUCACCUGAAUCACUCAAUAUUUACUGUUACUACACAAUACAUGAGAGAGGCAUCAAUAAACCAUCGUCUGAUUCUCCUCCUGCCACAGUGACACUUCUAGGUUCUCUUCAGAAACCCUUCAUCAGUGUCAGUGACGAUGAUGACUUGCUCUUCAUAGCGUGUGAAAUACCACUUUCAGUCAGAGCUGAUUUCAUCUGUAGUCUCUACACUGAGGAUGAUGCUCUUCUUUAUCAAAGUGUUUCUCAGAGGACUCUGUGUGUUUUUUUUGGGUCAUAGUGAACUCUUGACACGAUCAGUGAACAGCAGACAGCUGAUCUGUGUUUAUUCACUCAAGACUGAACCUGAGAUCAGAUCACCACACAGUGACACAUACACCAUCAGAGGUGCAUGUCAUACAUUAUAAGCAUCAUUCAUAUUAAAAUGUAAAAUAGAAAACAGAAUACUGUGAAAUUACUGUAUGCGUAAAAUAAAGAGGUAAAAUGUCCAAGUGAUUCAUAAGGUUUAACAUAUCAGGCAAUGGUAAACCUGUAAAUAUCUGGCGAUUUUCAAAUCACAGCUUUUCAGGCCUGGA
ensembl:lncRNA